AAAUGACAUAAAAUGCCUAGUAUGAAAUGAGGUAAGUAAAUAACAUAUCCAGAAUGACUCUACCAGUCGGCACAUGUUUACUACGGUUUAAAUUCCUCGACUAUAUCGUCUGUAAAUAACUCGGUGCAAAGUAUAUAUCGUCGCUGGGUUUCUAAAAUGUCGUAUAUGACUUUUUUGGCUAAAAACACUUUUUGACACCAAUGGUCUGGGCGAGAGAAAAUCUUUGGUAUUACAAAAUAGCAUACAGUUAGACCAAUCAAAAUGUGUAAAAUAAGACAUAUUACAAAAUUGCCAAUGUCAGUUGUUUGUAAA
rnacentral:lncRNA from 1 species